rnacentral:piRNA from 1 species
UCUGCAUCUUGUCAUAUUCUGUGGUUCCA